rnacentral:rRNA from 1 species
CCCUUAGAUGUUCUGGGCUGCACGCGCGCUACACUGAAGCUAUCAACACGUUUUCCCUCCCUGAGAAGGGCGGGUAACCUUUUGAAUCAGCUUCGUGGUAGGGAGCGGGGCUUGCAAUUGUUCCCCGUGAACCAGGAAUUCCUAGUAGACGCGAGUCAUAAGCUCGCAUCGAUUAAGUCCCUGCCCUUUGUACACACCGCCCGUCGCUACUACCGAUUGAACGUUUUAGUGAGGCAUUUGGACCGACGCAUCUCAGUUUAACCGCUGGUUUGUGUUGGAAAGACUUCCAAACUUGAGCGUUUAGAGGAAGUAAAAGUCGUAACA